rnacentral:rRNA from 1 species
AUUGAACGCUGGCGGCAUGCCUUACACAUGCAAGUCGAACGGUAACGCGGGGCAACCUGGCGACGAGUGGCGAACGGGUGAGUAACGCAUCGGAACGUGCCCAGUAGUGGGGGAUAGCCCGGCGAAAGCCGGAUUAAUACCGCAUACGACCUACGGGUGAAAGCGGGGGAUCGCAAGACCUCGCGCUAUUGGAGCGGCCGAUGUCAGAUUAGGUAGUUGGUGGGGUAAAGGCCUACCAAGCCGACGAUCUGUAGCUGGUCUGAGAGGACGACCAGCCACACUAGGACUGAGACGCGGCGCAGACUCCUACGGGAGGCGUCAGUGGGGAGUUUUGGCCAAUGGGCGCAAGCCUGAUCCAGCCAUGCGGCGUGCGGGAAGAAGGCCUUCGGGUUGUAAACCGCUUUUGUCAGGGAAGAAACGCUCUGGGCUAAUACCCCGGGGUAAUGACGGUACCUGAAGAAUAAGCACCGGCUAACUACGUGCCAGCCGCCGCGGUAAGAC